AUGGUUGUCGCGUCUUGGCAAAACAAGGGGAUCUUGGCGUCCAUGCAACUGGCAGCGGAGGUGCACGAAACCAGUGGCAGAGGACAAGCCGCAGCCAUGGCUCUCAAGACCGGCAAUGACGGCAGGGGAGGACGCCUACAGAUCGCGGGUGAAGAUUGGGCGUGGAAGGAGGGAGGCAAGUUAGAGCAGCAGCGUGAGAUGCAGCGAGGUCAUGGGGCGCAGGACUUGGACGCUGGCUGCAGAGAAGCUCGGGGUAGGGAAAGCAGCCACCAUGGGGAACGGGAGGAGCUCGACUCCCCUUUGGCAUUGCAGGCUGCUGGUGGAGGAGACGGACGGCAGUGGCCUUCUGGUCGCCGGCAGGGGCGGCUAGAGCCAAGGAAGAAGGAGGCCGAGGCGCGGGGGUGCUCUGCGAGGAGAAGCAAGAGGAGAGGUGGCGCGGGAGGCAGGCACUCCGGCGUGGACGAGCGCUAG
rnacentral:rRNA from 1 species